AUUGAACGCUGGCGGCAGGCCUAACACAUGCAAGUCGAACGGUAACAGGAAGCAGCUUGCUGCUUUGCUGACGAGUGGCGGACGGGUGAGUAAUGUCUGGGAAACUGCCCGAUGGAGGGGGAUAACUACUGGAAACGGUAGCUACUACCGCAUAACGUCGCAAGACCAAAGAGGGGGACCUUAGGGCCUCUUGCCAUCGGAUGUGCCCAGAUGGGAUUAGCUAGUAGGUGGGGUAACGGCUCACCUAGGCGACGAUCCCUAGCUGGUCUGAGAGGAUGACCAGCCACACUGGAACUGAGACACGGUCCAGACUCCGACGGGAGGCAGCAGUGGGGAAUAUUGCACAAUGGGCGCAAGCCUGAUGCAGCCAUGCCGCGUGUAUGAAGAAGGCCUUCGGGUUGUAAAGUACUUUCAGCGGGGAGGAAGGGAGUAAAGUUAAUACCUUUGCUCAUUGACGUUACCCGCAGAAGAAGCACCGGCUAACUCCGUG
rnacentral:rRNA from 1 species